rnacentral:rRNA from 1 species
GGAUUGACUUUCCAAGGCAACUCGGUCGGGAGGACUUGCUGGCAUUAGCUGGCUUUCCUUGCAUUUCCAAGUCUAUGUAUUUCAUAUACCCCAUUGAAUGUAACAGAAUGUAACACAUUGGGCCUUUGUGCCUAUCAAAACUUAUACAACUUUCAGCAACGGAUCUCUUGGCUCUCGCAUCGAUGAAGAACGCAGCGAAAUGCGAUAAGUAAUGUGAAUUGCAGAAUUCAGUGAAUCAUCGAAUCUUUGAACGCACCUCGCGCUCCUUGGUAUUCCGAGGAGCAUGCCUGUGUGAGUGUCAUUAAAUUCUCAACUAUGAUCAGCUUUUGCUGAUAAUGGCUUGGAUAUGGGGGUUUAUUUUGCUGGCUUCUUCACAGAUGGUCAGCUCCCCUUAAAUGCAUUAGCCGGUGCCCCGCGUGGCACUGUCUAUUGGUGUGGAUAAUAAUCUACGCCGUGGACAUCUA